AUCUUGGGUCGUAAAGGUCAGUCCGCCUACUCGGUGUGCACCUGCCCUUCCGUCCCUUUUGUCGGCGGCGUGCUCCUGUCCUUAAUUGGCUGGGUCGCGGCUCCGGCACUGUUACUUUGAAAAAAUUAGAGUGCUCAAAGCAAGCUUAUGCUCUUAAUACAUUAGCAUGGAAUAACGUGAUAGGAGUCUGGUCCUAUUGUGUUGGCCUUCGGGACCAGAGUAAUGAUUAAUAGGGACUGUCGAGGGCAUUCGCAUUUCAUUGUCAGAGGUGAAAUUCUUGGAUUUAUGAAAGAAGGACCACUGCGAAAGCAUUUGCCAAGGAUGUUUUCAUUAAUCAAGAACGAAAGUUGGGGGCUCGAAGACGAUCAGAUACCGUCCUAGUCUCAACCAUAAACGAUGCCGACCAGGGAUCGGCGGAUGUUGCUCUAAGGACUCCGCCAGCACCUUCUGAGAAAUCAGAGUGGUUUGGUUCCGGGGGGAGUAUGGUCGGAAACUUAAAGGAAUUAAUGGAAGGGCACCACCAAGAGUGGAGCCUGCGGCUUAAUUUGACUCAACACGGGGAAACUUACCAGGUCCAGACAUAGUAAGGGUUGACAGAUUAAGAGCUCUUUCUUUAUUCUAUGGGUGGUGGUGCAUGGCCAUUCUUAGUUGGUGGAGCGAUUUGUCUGGUUAAUUCCGAUAACGAACGAGACCUCAGCCUGCUAACUAGCUACACGGAGGUUCCCCUUCACGACCACCUUCUUAGAGGGACUAUGGCCAUUUAGGCCAUGGAAGUUUGAGGCAAUAAUAGGUUUGUGAUGCCCUUAGAUGUUCUGGGCCACACGCGCGCUACACUGAUGCAGCCAACGAGCUUUUCUUCCUGGUUCGAGAGGAUCGGGAAAUCUUCUCAAAUUGCAUCGUAAUGGGGAUAGACCAUUGCAAUUAUUGGUCUUCAACGAGGAAUUCCUAGUAAGCGCGUGUCAUCAACUCGUGUUGACUAUGUCCCUGCCCUUUGUACACACCGCCCAUCGCUCCUACCGAUUGAAUGAUCUGGUGAAGUGUUCGGAUUGCGUCGACGAUGGUGGUUCCCCGCCGUCGACGUCGUGAGAAGUUCAUUGAAACUUAUCAUUUAGAGGAAGGAUAAGUCGUGACAAGGUUACCGUAGGUGAACCUGCAGUAG
rnacentral:rRNA from 1 species